rnacentral:rRNA from 1 species
UCCUACGGGACGCAGCAGUGGGGAAUAUUGGGCAAUGGGCGCAAGCCUGACCCAGCAACGCCGCGUGAAGGAAGAAGGCUUUCGGGUUGUAAACUUCUUUUAUGAGGGACGAAACAAAUGACGGUACCUCAUGAAUAAGCCACGGCUAACUACGUGCCAGCAGCCGCGGUAAUACGUAGGUGGCAAGCGUUAUCCGGAUUUACUGGGUGUAAAGGGCGUGUAGGCGGGACUGCAAGUCAGAUGUGAAAACCAUGGGCUCAACCUGUGGCCUGCAUUUGAAACUGUAGUUCUUGAGUACUGGAGAG